AUGCAAGUCUUUCUCUGACAUAAAACGUGAGUGUCAAAGAAGACGAAUUUCUGGUAAAUUUUAUAGAGCAAUGCGAUACGGACGAUCCAGAUUGCCGGAAAUCUUCCUAGUUGUAGUAUUCGGCAUUGGUGGAGGAUUCUACGCGUUUCAGCCGGCAUUCAAACAGUACCAGAUCGAACAGACGACGCCUGUAGGGACGGGGAAAGUCGAGGGAGGCAAAACUACUGCACCACAAGCAAAGUAGAAGUUUGUAGAGUCAACGUUGGAAUAAUUCAGGAUGUCCACCUUGGUCAAUAUGUACCGAGUGUUGCGGGGUUCUCCCGCAGCGCUUCUCGGAGGUGCUAUCCUUAUCACCGGAUCCGUGAUGUUUGUCGUCAAAAGAGUGUACGAACCAUACGCAGCUCGAAAUAGACGAGCCGAAGCGGAAUACAUAGCGGAGUAUCUGUUUCGGAAGGAACAACAAUCGCGUGGCGUAGAGUUCCAUGAUGAUAAAGAGACCCUUA